rfam:Hordeum vulgare subsp. vulgare, WGS project CAJW01000000 data, contig: morex_contig_1075442
CGUAACAAGGUUUCCGUAGGUGAACCUGCGGAAGGAUCAUUG